rnacentral:rRNA from 1 species
GUCCACGCCCUAAACGAUGUCUACUAGUUGUCGGGUCUUAAUUGACUUGGUAACGCAGCUAACGCGUGAAGUAGACCGCCUGGGGAGUACGGUCGCAAGAUUAAAACUCAAAGGAAUUGACGGGGACCCGCACAAGCGGUGGAUGAUGUGGAUUAAUUCGAUGCAACGCGAAAACCUUACCUACCCUUGACAUGGCAGAAAUCCCGGAGAGAUUUGGGAGUGCUCGAAAGAGAAUCUGCACACAGGUGCUGCAUGGCUGUCGU